rnacentral:rRNA from 1 species
GAUCAUGGCUCAGAACGAACGCUGGCGGCGCGUCUUAAACAUGCAAGUCGAACGAUCUGUAGCAAUACAGGGAGUGGCGGACGGGUGAGGAACACGUAGGAAUCUACCUUGAAGAGCGGGACAACUUUGGAAACCGGGGCUAAUACCGCAUAGUACAGAGAUGUUAAAGGGCUAGCAAUAGUCGCUUCGAGAUGAGCCUGCGGUCUAUCAGCUUGUUGGUGAGGUAAUGGCUCACCAAGGCUACGACGGAUAGCCGGUCUGAGAGGAUGAUCGGCCACACUGGCACUGAGACACGGGCCAGACUCCUACGGGAGGCAGCAGUUAAGAAUCUUGCGCAAUGGGGGAAACCCUGACGCAGCGACGCCGCGUGAAGGAUGAAGGCUUUCGGGUUGUAAACUUCGGUAGACUGGGAAGAAGAAAUACGUUCGUUGAGGGCGUAUAGUGACGGUACCAGUCUGAAGCCCCGGCUAAUUACGUG